rnacentral:rRNA from 1 species
GGUUACGAUCAUACCAGCACUAAUGCACCGGAUCACAUCAGAACUGCGCAGUUAAUCGUGCUUGGGCGAGAGUAGUACUAGGAUGGGUGACCCCCUGGGAAGGCCUCGUGUGACAACCC